GGUUUCCAUAAAUAAGGGGCUAGAAAUGGAUUGGGCCCGUUAUCGCUUCGCCAAAGUCCGGCCCGUUUUAUCAUCACAUGAUUGCCAGCGUUCGUCGUUUCCUGACCGUUGGAUCAAAAAGCCAGCCUUCGAAAACUGACGAAGGAUCUCCAACCCGAAACCGACCUGAAACCCUACAGAAGGCGUCCCCUCCCCGUCGAAGCCGCCGUCGUCUCUGUCUGAAACCCUGCCGAGGUGGCAGCGAAGCGGCGAUGGGCUUCGACGUGGGCGUUGUCCCCUUCAAUCUCGACGGAUGGGGUCCGCCCGAGAGUCCCGCCGCUCCCCUCCUCCUCUCCAGGAACGACGGGGGAUCCACCCAGCCGGCCAACAUCCCCUUCGCCCCCUUCUCCCGAUCCGAGAAGCUUGGACGCGUUGCCGACUGGACUCGCAAUCCUAAUUUCGGCAACAACGCUGCCCGGUCUGCUGGAGGCCGCGACGCCGUCUUCGACUUCGCCCUUGACGAGUCCUCCGCCCUCUCUGGCGCUGCUGCUGACGAUUCUUCCUUCCGCCUUGUCGAUGGUAAGCCCCCUCCGCGACCCAAGUUCGGCCCUCGCUGGCGCUUCCAGCAGCGCCCGCAGCUGCCGCAGCGCCGCGACGAGGAGGUCGAGGCUCGGAAACGGGAGGCCGAGAAGGAGCGUGCCCGCCGCGACCGUCUCUAUCGCCUUAACCACCGCUCCUACGCUUCCGCCGGUGGUCACGGCGCCGCUGGCUCCCACCGCGAUGCCCCUGCCCGCAAGUCCUCCGUCGACAUACAGCCCGAAUGGACGAUGCUCGACCAGAUCCCCUUUUCCACCUUCUCCAAGCUCUCCUUCUCCGUCCCUGACCCGCCCGAGGACCUCCUCGUCUGUGGCGCCCUUGAGUUUUACGACCGCUCCUUCGACCGCGUCAACCCCAAGAACGAGCGCCGCCUGGAGCGCUUCAAGUCCCGCAACUUCUUCAAGGUCACCACCUCCGACGACCCUGUCAUCCGCCGCCUCGCCGCCGAUGACAAGGCCACUGUGUUCGCCACCGAUGCCAUCCUUUCCGCGCUCAUGUGCGCCCCACGGUCUGUGUACUCCUGGGACAUUGUCAUCCAGCGUGUCGGUAACAAGCUCUUCUUCGACAAGCGCGACAGGUCUCAGCUCGACCUCCUCUCCGUCCAUGAGACCUCGCAGGAGCUCCUCCCUGAUGCCAAGGAGGACAUCAACUCAGCAUACUCCCUCGCCGUCGAGGCCACGUACAUCAACCAGAACUUCUCCCAGCAGGUGCUUGUGCGUGACGGAAACAAGGUUACCUUCGAUGAACCCAACCCCUUUGCUUCCGAAGGCGAGGAAGUUGCCUCCGUUGCAUACCGGUACCGACGCUGGAAGCUCGACGAAGACACUCAUAUCAUCGCUCGCUGUGAGGUGCAUAGCGUGACCGACGUGAAGGGACAGCGAGCCUUCAUGACCCUGAACGCUCUCAACGAGUUUGACCCCAAGUUCUCAGGGGUUGACUGGAGGCAGAAACUUGAGACACAGAGGGGAGCAGUUCUCGCUACCGAGCUAAAGAACAAUGCCAACAAGCUCGCGAAGUGGACGGCUCAAGCCCUCCUUGGUGGUGUUGAUUUGAUGAAGCUGGGGUAUGUCUCAAGGGUCCAUCCCCGAGACCACUUCAACCAUGUUAUUUUGAGCGUGAUCGGGUACAAGCCCAAGGACUUUGCAACCCAGAUCAAUCUCAAUACCUCUAACAUGUGGGGGAUUGUGAAGUCGAUCGUGGACCUCUGCAUGAAGCUCAACGAGGGGAAGUAUGUGCUUGUGAAGGACCCGGUCAAGCCGCAGGUCAGGAUCUAUGAGGUUCCAGCAGAUGCAUUUGAAAAUGAAUACGUGGAAGAGCCACUGCCGGAGGAGGAGCAGGUGCAGCCACCUGCGGAGGAAGAUGCCACUGUGGGAGCUACGGAUGCAGCAGCAGAAGCAGAGCCCAACACGGCAGCUGGAGCAGCAGAGGGGGAGAGGGACGCUAUUGCCUCUGCCGUCUGAGGGGUAUAACUUGCUUCUGGAAUAGCAGCAGAGCUUGGAAUUGUGAUGGUCCUCAUCAUAUGAGUGUUAGUUUGUGGGGGGUUUUCAACAGACACCAAAUUCUCUGGCGCCGUUUACAAUGAUCAGUUUCUCUCUGUGUGACCAACUUGCAGGCAAAAAGAAGAAGAAAAAAAA